rnacentral:rRNA from 1 species
ACGGAAGGCAGCAGUGGGGAAUAUUGGGCAAUGGGCGAAAGCCUGACCCAGCAACGCCGCGUGAAGGAAGAAGGUCUUCGGAUUGUAAACUUCUUUUAUGAGGGACGAAGGAAGUGACGGUACCUCAUGAAUAAGCCACGGCUAACUACGUGCCAGCAGCCGCGGUAAUACGUAGGUGGCAAGCGUUAUCCGGAUUUACUGGGUGUAAAGGGCGCGUAGGCGGGGAUGCAAGUCAGAUGUGAAAUCUAUGGGCUUAACUCAUAAACUGCAUUUGAAACUGUAUCUCUUGAGUGCUGGAGAGGUAGAUGGAAUUCCUUGUGUAGCGGUGAAAUGCGUAGAUAUAAGGAAGAACACCAGUGGCGAAGGCGAUCUACGGGACAGUAACUGACGCUGAGGCGCGAAAGCGUGGGGAGCAAACAGGAUUAGAUACCCUGGUA